rnacentral:rRNA from 1 species
UACGUAGGGUGCGAGCGUUGUCCGGAAUUACUGGGCGUAAAGAGCUCGUAGGUGGUUUGUCGCGUUGUCCGUGAAAACUCACAACUCAAUUGUGGGCGUGCGGGCGAUACGGGCAGACUGGAGUACUGCAGGGGAGACUGGAAUUCCUGGUGUAGCGGUGGAAUGCGCAGAUAUCAGGAGGAACACCGGUGGCGAAGGCGGGUCUCUGGGCAAGUAACUGACGCUGAGGUACGAAAGCGUGGGGAGCAACAGG